rnacentral:rRNA from 1 species
GACGAACGCUGGCGGCGUGCUUAACACAUGCAAGUCGAACGGAAAGGCCUGCAGCUUGCUGCGGGUACUCGAGUGGCGAACGGGUGAGUAACACGUGGGUGAUCUGCCUUGCACUUCGGGAUAAGCUUGGGAAACUGGGUCUAAUACCGGAUAGGACAGCUGUUUAGUGUCAGUUGUGGAAAGUUUUUUCGGUGCAAGAUGAGCUCGCGGCCUAUCAGCUUGUUGGUGGGGUAAUGGCCUACCAAGGCGUCGACGGGUAGCCGGCCUGAGAGGGUGUACGGCCACAUUGGGACUGAGAUACGGCCCAGACUCCUACGGGAGGCAGCAGUGGGGAAUAUUGCACAAUGGGGGAAACCCUGAUGCAGCGACGCCGCGUGUACGAUGAAGAUCUUCGGAUUGUAAAGUACUGUCCUUGGUGAAGAUAAUGACUGUAACCAAGAAGCAAGCCCUGGCUAAAUACGUGCCAGCAGCCGCGGUAAUACGUAUGGGGCAAGCGUUGUCCGGAAUUAUUGGGCGUAAAGGGUACGUAGGCGGUUAUUUAAGUCUAAAUUAAAAGGCAUUGGCUCAACCAAUGUAAGGUUUAGAUACUGGAUAACUUGAGUAGAUGAGGGGAAAGUGGAAUUCCAUGUGUAGCGGUGAAAUGCGUAGAUAUAUGGAGGAACACCAAUGGCGAAGGCAACUUUCUGGAAUCAAACUGACGCUGAGGUACGAAGGCGUGGGGAGCAAACAGGAUUAGAUACCCUGGUAGUCCACGCAGUAAACGAUGAGUGCUAGAUGUUGGGAGUCAAAUCUCAGUGUCGCAGCUAACGCAAUAAGCACUCCGCCUGGGGAGUACGUACGCAAGUAUGAAACUCAAAGGAAUUGACGGGGACCCGCACAAGCAGCGGAGCAUGUGGUUUAAUUCGAAGCAACGCGAAGAACCUUACCAAGGCUUGACAUAUACAUGAAAAUCCUAGAGAUAGGAUCCUCUCUUCGGAGACGUGUAUACAGGUGGUGCAUGGUUGUCGUCAGCUCGUGUCGUGAGAUGUUGGGUUAAGUCCCGUAACGAGCGCAACCCUCGUCUUUAGUUACCAGCAAGUAAAGUUGGGGACUCUAGAGAUACUGCCGGUGAUAAACCGGAGGAAGGUGGGGAUGACGUCAAAUCAUCAUGCCCUAUAUGUCUUGGGCUACACACGUGCUACAAUGGUCUGAACAAAGCGCAGCGAACUCGUGAGGGUAAGCAAAUCGCAGAAAACAGAUCUCAGUUCGGAUUGUAGGCUGCAACUCGCCUACAUGAAGUCGGAGUUGCUAGUAAUCGUGGAUCAGAAUGCCACGGUGAAUGCGUUCCCGGGUCU